CUGCCUGUUCAAAUCUUUUCACCAUUUAUCAAAUGGCAUGGUCAUUAUUGAUAAUUAUUGAAAUGGGCUGCUCUUCUACAGUUAUGGUGUAAGCAAGAGAAAAUAAGUAAUGGAGAAACAAAAAACCUUCUAUCUAACAUGUCUAUCUGAGCUUGAAAGUCACAAGUGAAUAUGCCCCUAUGUAUUAUAAAAUCAUCAAGCACUAAGAAUCCUAUCCAGAAGAUACAUUUUCCCACCCUCAUGGAGAUCUAAGACUGAUUUGUGAUCAAUGGCACAUAUAGAACUGAGGGGAGCAACAAUAGAAUAAAAGAAGUUGUCUGGGGUAUGAUAAUAAAUGUUUAAUAACCAGCUUUUGGGUGGGUGGAGAUAUGUAUGCAGGACACAUUUCAAGAUUUAAUUUAUAUUAUUAACAUUUUUGCUAUUACUUUCUUAAGACUAGAAAAUGAAUGAAACAUGAUUUGUCACAUUUGCUGAUUUCCAAGGUGUAAAUAAUCACACUGAACAUCUGACAAUUGGAGAGCUAGAGAUCACUUCAGCACACCCCUAGCUAAAGGAAACUUAUUGAAGCUCUGACCUUUGGACUUCCUGUGACCGACUAACUCAAGAUAUGACGCACCAACAUUUGGUGAAAUUGAAGGUGUGACUUUGAGUUGUCCCCAAUCAAUCAAGCAAAUCACACAUAUCAUGAUUCAUCCUUAGCAUGGAUGGAUUCUCACAGAAGAGAAGAGUUGGGUUGGUCAAGUUCAAGGAUGCUUAUUGUAGCAGCAUUCAGUUAAAAACACUCCUCUCUAAGAGUCCUCACUGUUCUUCCACUAGAAUUAUUUUGUGGUUAUAAUUUAAUUAAAAUUACUAUUGAGCUCUGUCUCUGUGAGGCUUUUGAAAUGAAACCACUGUAAAGAGUGUCAUCCUACCUCAGACAUGCUACAAAAGAAAAAAUGCAGAAGAUGAUACAAAUAUGCUAUCCAAAGACCACUAUUAACAGAGGCUACAUACAAUCUUAACAUAAAGAAAAGAAAGAAUAAAGGCCACACACAUUCAACACA